AAUACGUAGGGGGCGAGCGUUGUCCGGAUUUAUUGGGCGUAAAGAGCUCGUAGGCGGUUUGUCGCGUCUAUCGUGAAAACCUGCGGCUUAACUGUGGGCUUGCGGUGGAUACGGGCAGACUUGAGUUCGGUAGGGGAGACUGGAAUUCCUGGUGUAGCGGUGAAAUGCGCAGAUAUCAGGAGGAACACCGGUGGCGAAGGCGGGUCUCUGGGCCGAUACUGACGCUGAGGAGCGAAAGCGUGGGGAGCGAACAGGA
rnacentral:rRNA from 1 species